rnacentral:tRNA from 1 species
GGCGUGGUGGCGGAGUUGGUUAUCGCGCAAGACUUGAAAUCUUGUUCCUUCGGGAGCGCCAGUUCGAAUCUGGUCCACGUCG